rnacentral:rRNA from 1 species
GACGAACCGUGCGAACGUUAUUCGGAAUCACUGGGCUUAAAGGGAGCGUAGGCGGGCUAUCAAGUCUGGGGUGAAAUGCCGCGGCUCAACCGUGGAACUGCCUCAGAUACUGACGGCCUCGAGGGAGAUAGGGGCAUGCGGAACUGUAGGUGGAGCGGUGAAAUGCGUUGAUAUCUACAGGAACUCCGGUGGCGAAAGCGGCGUGCUGGAUCUCUUCUGACGCUGAGGCUCGAAAGCUAGGGGAGCAAACGGG